CAAUAGCGUAUAUUUAAGUUGCUGCAGUUAAAAAGCUCGUAGUUGGAUUUCGGGUGGGAAUGGCCGGUCCGCCGUUUCGGUGUGCACUUGCUACGCCCACCGUGCUGCCGGGGACGUGCUCUUGAGUUCACGCUCGGGACACGGAGUCGGCGAGGUUACUUUGAGUAAAUUAGAGUGUUCAAAGCAGGCCUACGCUCUGAAUACAUUAGCAUGGAAUAACACGAUAGGACUCUGGCCUAUCUUGUUGGUCUGUAGGACCGGAGUAAUGAUUAAGAAGGACAGUCGGGGGCAUUCGUAUUUCAUUGCCAGAGGUGAAACUCUUGGAUUUAUGAAAGACGAACUACUGCGAAAGCAUUUGCCAAGGAUGUUUUCAUUAA
rnacentral:rRNA from 1 species